rnacentral:rRNA from 1 species
AUUGAACGCUGGCGGCAUGCCUUACACAUGCAAGUCGAACGGUAACAGGUCUUCGGAUGCUGACGAGUGGCGAACGGGGGAGUAAUACAUCGGAACGUGCCCGAUCGUGGGGGAUAACGAAGCGAAAGCUUUGCUAAUACCGCAUACGAUCUACGGAGGAAAGCAGGGGACCGCAAGGCCUUUCGCGAACUUAGCGGCCGAUGGCAGAUUAGGUAGUUGGUGGGAUAAAAGCUUACCAAGCCGACGAUCUGUAGCUGGUCUGAGAGGACGACCAGCCACACUGGGACUGAGACACGGCCCAGACUCCUACGGGAGGCAGCAGUGGGGAAUUUUGGACAAUGGGCGAAAGCCUGAUCCAGCCAUGCCGCGUGCAGGAUGAAGGCCUUCGGGUUGUAAACUGCUUUUGUACGGAACGAAAAGACUCUGGUUAAUACCUGGGGUCCAUGACGGUACCGUAAGAAUAAGCACCGGCUAACUACGUG